AAAGAUUAAGCCAUGCAAGUCUAAGUAUAAGUUUAUAUACAACGAAACUGCGAAUGGCUCAUUACAACAGUCAUAGUUUGUGUGAAAAUAGUUACUACACGGAUAUCUGUGGUAAUUCUGGAGCUAAUACGUGCAUGAACACCUGUCUUUCGGGAUCGGGUGGCACCUAUUAGAUAAAGAACCAACCUAUGCUUGCAUAGAUUUUUGGUGAUCCAUAAUAAAUUAGUGAAUCGCAUGGCCUCGGCUAGCGAUAAUUCACUUAAGUUUCUGACCUAUCAGCUGUCGACGGUAGGGUAUUGGCCUACCGUGGCUA
rnacentral:rRNA from 1 species